UCCGCUUCACGAAAGUUAACGUGUUUACUGUCGUUGAGAGAGGGAAGCUAUUUUUGGCAAGAAAUCAUUUUGUUUCUCAGAUUUUCUUUGUUUUACUUUACCAUCUCGGACUUGGAAGGUGGACACCACAGACAUAAUAAGAAAAGAACACAGAAGAGAACAAUAUCCGGUCAGCUCCCUGCAGAAGUUAAAUGUGAAAAGAGCUAAAGAGGUGUGACUGGCAAGUUACAAGCAGGAGAGGACAGACGCAGAGACUGCCAGCAAAAACCGUCUUUCUUGAGCUUCCUGGGAUCGUUGCCUCACUCAGAUGGCUUAGAAACCCUCAAAGGACCAGCUGGACCCUCACAAGCUCAAUGUGCUAAUAGAUGCAGUGUGAUAAAGCAGUUUCCAAAUCCCAUAGUGUCUGCAGUUGCAGAAAAUACUGUCAUCAUUUUACUGAUUUGAUUUGAUUUGAUUGUUUAUUUUGCUGUGUGGUACAUGCUGCUGCACCUUUUAAUGUACAGGAAUUCAUUUUUGUAAUGUACACAAAAUUAAAGUUUUUUAGUUGUCUGUA